rnacentral:rRNA from 1 species
CCUACGGGUGGCAGCAGUGAGGAAUCUUGGUCAAUGGACGAGAGUCUGAACCAGCCAAGUAGCGUGAAGGAUGACCGCCCUAUGGGUUGUAAACUUCUUUUAUAUGGGAAUAAAAUGUUCCACGUGUGGGAUUUUGUAUGUACCAUAUGAAUAAGGAUCGGCUAACUCCGUGCCAGCAGCCGCGGUAAUACGGAGGAUCCGAGCGUUAUCCGGAUUUAUUGGGUGUAAAGGGAGCGUAGGUGGAUUGGUAAGUCAGUUGUGAAAGUUCGCGGCUCAACCGUAAAAUUGCAGUUGAAACUGGGAGACUUGAGUACAGUAGAGGUGAGCGGAAUUCGUGGUGUAGCAGUGAAAUGUUUAGAUAUCGCGAAGAACUCCGAUUGCGAAGGCAGCUUACUAGACUGCCACUGACAUUGAUGCUCGAAAGUGUGGGUAUCAAACAGGAUUAGAUACCCCAGUAGUC